AUGUAAUGCUGACAAUAUUAAUGCACCGGUCCCAUUGGAACUCUGCAAUUAAGUGCACUUGGGAUAGAGUAAUAUUGGGAUGGGUGACCUCCCAAAAAGUCUUAGUGUUUUACAUG
rnacentral:rRNA from 1 species